rnacentral:lncRNA from 1 species
AUGUUGGCAACUGCUGAUUGGGCUGAGGCUACCUCCAGGGUGUGUGGAGAUCCACCCCCACUGGAAGGGCCAGAUGUCAUCGUGCCCAUCCUCAAGGAUGAUGGGUCCUACCUGCUCUGUGCAUAUUGGGCUGAUGAGCCUGAAGCCCCAGUCCAGGCCUGGGCUGGGGCCCUGCACCCUACAGCCCAGCAGCCCAUCUGCUGUGUGGAGGCCAUUAUGGGUGAGUCUUUUGGUGGGAAUCUUGCUCUAGACCUGCCAAACCACCUGAGUGCACCCUAGUGACAGAGGCCUGCUUGCUCUAUACCCCUGGGGAAAGGUGUGAUGUGGCAGGAACUCUGCGCUACUUCUGGGUGGACUAAGCAGAGCCCUGGGUGGAGUUUGCAGCAGGGAUGUAGUGUAGGCAGGUAUUUCAUGACCUCAGAGUCCCAGGUUAUGCUCUGUUUUCUGACAAGCAAGCCGACCAUGUUGCUGCAUAAGAGGCAAGUGUGAUGGCAGGGCCCCAGCCUGUGCUCCUGCAUGUGUCAAGGAUUUCUUCUAGCCUACACAUGGAAGAGUGGGGCACCUUUGGCCAGUGACAGGCUUCCCUUGAGGCCUUUGCCCUAGAUGCCAUUACACUGCAUGCCUGCCACCACAGCUCUACUCGGGUUACCUUCUCAGCCUGAUAUCUUUCUCAGAUCCCGAUGAACUGGGCAUGCUGUCUCUCUCAUCCCAAUUGUGUUGAUGUCACUCUUCAUCUAGAACCCUGAGCCAUGUCCUGAGGGUUCCAUGCUGAGGUUGCUAGUGCUGGCCUCGUGCCUCUCAGGAUCCACUAAGGGCCACUGUGUGAAUGACACCAAAAGGCUCCUGUGUGUGUGAAGCUCUGUGGGUUUCAUAUGUUCAUACUGUGGCAGGGUGUACGUGCCCAGGAGUCCCCCACCAAUGACUGCUGUGGGGAUGAGCCCCCUGUUGUGACACAUCAGACAUAGACCAAGGCGCCACGUGGUGAAAGCGGCUGGCCCCUCAUGGAAGAUCAGGAUGCCUGAUCUGUGGCUAUCACACUCUGGACAGGCAGG